rnacentral:rRNA from 1 species
GGGACCUGCAUAACCCCGGGAAACUGGGGAUAAUUCGGGAUAACGCAUAUGUGCUGGAAUGCUUUAUGCGUAAAAAGGAUUCGUCCGCCCAAGGAUGGGUCUGCGGCCUAUCAGGUAGUAGUGGGUGUAAUGUACCUACUAGCCGACAACGGGUACGGGUUGUGAGAGCAAGAGCCCGGAGAUGGAUUCUGAGACAUGAAUCCAGGCCCUACGGGGCGCAGCAGGCGCGAAAACUUUACAAUGCGGGAAACCGUGAUAAGGGGACACCGAGUGUCAGCAUCAUAUGCUGGCUGUCCAGGUGUGUAAAAUACACCUGUUAGCAAGGGCCGGGCAAGACCGGUGCCAGCCGCCGCGGUAACACCGGCGGCCCGAGUGGUGAUCGUGAUUAUUGGGUCUAAAGGGUCCGUAGCCGGUUUGGUCAGUCCUCCGGGAAAUCUGAUAGCUCAACUAUUAGGCUAUCGGGGGAUACUACCAGACUUGGAACCGGGAGAGGUAAGAGGUACUACAGGGGUAGGAGUGAAAUCUUGUAAUCCCUGUGGGACCACCUGUGGCGAAGGCGUCUUACCAGAACGGGUUCGACGGUGAGGGACGAAAGCUGGGGGCACGAACCGGAUUAGAUACCCGGGUAGUCCCAGCCGUAAACGAUGCUC